ACAAACAAGUUGAGCAGGAAAGUAAAUUACUUAAAGCAUCUAAGAGAGACAACGUUCGGUGGAAGUUGUUAUGUGGUGAGUAAUUGAAAAUGGCCUGUGAUUGGCGUUGGUGAGCAGCAAGUCUGUAAGCGAACGACGGGUUGGUCUACGUUACAAGACACACGAAUCGGCAAAGCAUCAUAUCGCUCACUGCCCGCUCGUUGUUAAGGUUCAGAAGAGUAAUUUUCUGGAUAAAUGUAGAAUGGUAACACGAAGACUCGUUUCUAUC
rnacentral:ncRNA from 1 species